rnacentral:lncRNA from 1 species
AUUAUGUGUGCUUUGUGCCCGCAUUUUUGGUAGAUGCGUGUUCGGUUUUUCGUGCCGCUUCUUUCCAUCCGAAAAUUAUGUAGAGUGACUGAAGGAUCUCUUGUAUUUUUGAACUAAUUGCUUUCCAAACUCCAUUAUGAAGAAGGGAAAAGUGAAAAACUUUAAAACAGCUGUUUCAUGCAUUGUUUCCCAAAAGUCCACGAAUGAGUCGUCUCCAACGUCCUCUCAGCUGAGUCCUUUGUCCAAUGAUGUAACUCCUUCAACCUCUACCUCUCAGAAUAACAACACCACCCAUGCCCCUGCUACCAACUUAACAGGUGAUCAAAAUAACAAUAAUAACCUUAUCAAACCUAACCUCUCUUUUGCUCAUGCCGUUGCCGAUACAACCCCCUCAAUUACUAAAGAACACGCUGUAAUAAUUCCAGCCCAUGAUUCCAUCCCUCUUUUGGAGUACCUUCAACAAAUUAGUAAAUUCGUCUCUCCUAGUGAGAUCUUGUACGCAUCUCGGAUAUCUUUUAACAGGAUUUGCAUUUAUUUCAAAUCAAAGAAAUCUGUAGAUGAAACUGCUCAAAAGAUAAUACACACGAAAGAAGGCCCAUUGGUUAUCCGAAGAAUGAUUAAUCCUGACGUCAGAUUAAUAUUUUCUAAUGUCAUUCCUACAUUACCUAAUCAAAAACUCAUCAACGCUGUCUCUGAAUUUGUUACACCAACCUCUCAGAUGCAGAACGUUUCUACAGGUUUUAAAGAUCCUAUGUUUGCUCAUGUUCUGUCUUUUCGUAGACAAAUUUAUGUCAAAAGGGAGGCAAAAAAUAUCCAGCUCCCCCCCUCAGUAAUCAUUAACCAUAAUGGCGAAGAAAUAAAGGUAUUCCUAACUUUUGGAGAUACAAAACCAAUAAAUACGACUGAAAAACAAGCAUCGCGAACUGGCGCAAACAUCAAUACUAGAAUUGCUAAAAUUCAAUCUGAAACAGUCAAAACACGUGAAUUGGAUUCUUCGUCUAAAAAUCCAUCUCAUAGUAGUACUUCUCAAACCAUCCCGCCUCAGCAAAAAUCUCUUCAAUCUAUCUCUUCUCAGUUACAUUCUCCUCAUAUUAAAACCCCUCAUCUUAGCUCUCACUUAUCUGCAGUUGAUGAACCCCAAUCUGAUGCUCCUCAAACAGAAGUUUCCUCCUCAAACGUCUCUCAUUCCAAUAAUACAGAUCUCCCUCCACAGGUGGUGUUCUCCACAAGAUUUACAACACAAUGAUUCUCACAUUGCUCAGAUCCCCAGAGAUUCAACCGAGGAUUUAUCUUCGGAUAGAAUUUCUAAUAUUCAAGAAGAGGAAACAAAUUUGAUUAUGGAUACUACUGGCGAGAUUUCGCAAACUACAGAUGCGCCCAAGAAGAGAAAAUCUAGCUCAUCCCCAGAAUCUGUCGAAUCGCGAAAAAAAUUUAACUCUAAAAAACAAAAUAAGAAACAAUCGACCACUCAGCAGGAAAUAGAUUCCUUCUCUGAAUCUUCAGAUGAGGAACCUUUUACCUCACACUGUACCUUGCAGCAUGCCAUCUCGGAAGCUGUUGAGAAACAUAACUUCGAGAUUGAAUCGGAGAUGCUUUU